UUUAUUUUUAUUUUUUAUUUUUAUUUUUCGAUAGAGGAUUAUGUGAGUGGAAACUCAAACCUGACAGUGCAGUAAGUAAUAUGUCUUGAGGCAUUGGACCAAGUCAGGCCAGGUGCCCUAAAUGUUGUCUUAAUUCUAUGGGUUUCUUACUGUUUUCUUCCUUACUAAAUUCAGUUUCAUGGAAUAUUUGGGAAUUGUUUGUUUAAUAGAAGAUGACUUCAAU
rnacentral:misc_RNA from 1 species